AGUAAAUGAGAUGUUUAAGAAUCAAAUAUAAUAAUUAUACCUAAAAUCGUUUGUUUGGUUUAGUCUCACUGUUCCAACCAUCAUUCCCAGCAUAAUAGAGUACCAAAUUUCCCCCAACUUUCGGAUGUCAGGGGAAUGCUUUGAUUUGAGAUUCUCAAACUCAUUAUUGCAAAUUAUUAAUUAAAGAAAGCCCUAACUUUGCGUCCAGCUCUCUGUUUAAUCUUCAACGCAAUUUCUCCAUCUCCCGAAGAAUUCGAAAGUUACUUCUCAGAAGUUAGUGAGAAUUUGGUGUUGGAUUAAACUGAUAAAAGAUCAAGAAACUGUGUUGAGCCUCUGAGGUCUUGGAAUAAUGACUCUUGUAGAAAGUGAAGAGGUUGGUUUUAAGCGCACUGAGCUGUCAGCUAGUGAUUAUGAUGCAAUUCUUCCUAUCAAGAAAAGGAGAUUUCCGGUAGUGCAGUUUCCUCCAUCUCCAUCUAAAGAUUUACCUCUAUCUCCAUCUAAAGAUUUACCUCCAUCCCCAUCUAAAGAUUUACCUCCAUCUCCAUCUAAAAAUUUACCUCCAUCUCCAUCUAAAGAUUUACCUCCAUUCCAUUCAGAUGGAAAUUUAUUGAAGGCUGAGCAGCCAUCUCCUCCUAAAGAUCUAUCUUCUUUGAAUCGCAAUGAAAGUUUAAUAAAGACUGAGCAGCCAUCUCCUCCUAAAGAACCAUCUUCUUUGAAUCGCAAUGAAAGUUUAAUAAAGACCGAGCAGCCAUCUCCUUCUGAAGAUCUAUCUUCUUUUAACCGCAAUGAAAAUUUAAUAAAGACUGAGCAGCCGAUUCUAUCUAUGACAAUAGUUUCAAGUUCUAGUGUUGUCACAAGUUCUGCAUUGUUGAAUAAUAACCAGGACAAUGUUUCUGAAGAGAAGAAAGGAAAAUCUGAUAGCGAUUCAUGUUGUGUAGACUUAGUCCAGAGCGAUAUUGGCACGGCAGGAGUCAAGUUUCAAGAACCCAAUUUGCGGGUACAUGCUUAUAUUAAUUGUUUUGAUGAAUAUAAAGGUAAAUCCUUGGUAACUGUAAAACACACCAUUCGUACAUCACCAGAGAUCUAUGGGGGGUCAAACUUAUCGUCAACUAGCCUUGAUUCUGAUCCUCUUGCUGAUAACAAAGAGGAAGAAAUUGAUGUAAAAAUGCCUGAAGAAAAUUGCAGCCCUCCAAUUUGUGAAGUUGGAGGAGGAGCUGGAGUAUCGGUAGGUUUGAACUGUCAUAUGGAUCUGAAAUUAGUUCCUGAAAAGAGUGAUUUGAAUUUCCUGAAGCAGGAUUCUGUGGAACCUGUUUUACUGGACUUCUCUUUAAACAAGCAUGGAAGUAGCACCCAAUGUGUCAAAGAUAACGUAGGGUCUGAUUGUGAUGGUCCUCUUUUGCAGUUGAACAGGGAAAAGUGGGAUCUUAAUACCUCAAUGGAAUCAUGGGAGGGUUGUACUAGUGGUGAUUCACCUGUAGCGAAGAUGUCUGCCACUAAGACAAAUACAACUAUUGAAACUUAUGCUUGCUCAUCUGCAAUGGUGGAAAGUGACAGUCCAUGCGGAAAACAAACCCUUUUAGAUAGUGAAGAUAAAGACAACUCUAUUUAUGCAUGCAUGCCAUCAAAAGGGCAUCUUCAUUUAAGUCUGGAUUCAUCUUAUCUGAAGCCUGUAGUUGAAGAAGACCCUUAUAUUUCUGAAUAUGAAUCAGAUGGUAACUGGGAUAUAGCUGAGGCUGUUGAUGAUGAUGAUAAUGAUAAUCAUUUAGAAGAAGACUACGAAGAUGGGGAGGUCCGGGAGACAUUGCAGGAAACUGAAGUAGAAGUCCAUGCAUAUGAGAAAAGAGAAAUUGAGCCUUUGGAUCAUGCUGGUUGUGAUGACAAAAAGAUCAAUACCAUUAGAUUGCCGGAUCAUGAACUUCUUGCUUUAGGCCCUCUUGAACAGGAAACUAAACCAGAAAAUCUGGAUCAUAGAAGUGAAGAUGAUGUCCGGACUACAACUAAAAGUAAAUCUUAUGAGCAAGAAAAUGAAGAUCUUUGUGUGAAAGAAUUGCAUGCCGUAGAGAAUUCUAUUAGUGGGGAUGUAAACAGACCUGUGAAGGCCACAGGAAGAGGCCAAUUAUUUCAGUAUGAUAAAAAGCACAACUUUGAGGCACAUGACACCGCGGAUGAAAUCGUUGAUGAGGAACUGAUUCCUACAUUUUCUCAGGGUGAGAUGGAGAAUGCUGUAGCAGUAGAUGUAGUGCAGAAUAGGGAUCUAACUUUGCCUACUGUAAAGGAGUCUGUAAACGGAAAUGAUGCAAAGGAUAUCAAUGGAGGCACUAGAAAUAGUCGGAUAAUUAAUUUUAAUCGAGUAUCUACUGAUUCAACUCCUUGUAAGGAAAAAUCUAGUUUUGCCAGGUCGGUUUUACCACAUAAGGAGAGAGAGUUUGUACCCAACAUGGCAGUUGAAGGAGCAAAUAUGCAACCUCAAGAAAGAGAUGAUGCGUACAGUAAUAUUACCAAGAAAAUUUCUAUAGACAAACGUGAAGGCCAGCCACCAUUGAUGGGUUUUAGUCAUAGAAGAGGGAGAAGUACCAAUAGGCUGGACAACCGAUCUGAGGAAUGGGAUUUUGGUCCCAACUUUUCUCCAGAAACAUACAGUGAACAACAGAUAGAUUACCAUGGUCCUGGUCUUGAUCAAAAUCGAUAUAAGAUUACACCAGAUGGUCCAUUUGGUGGUGCUAACCGACGUGGUAGAGAAUUGCUAGAGGAUGAGGAACCUUUUUUUUUUCAUGGGCCCUCAAGGAGGAAGUCAUUUGGAAGAAGACAUGGUCCGAAUGUAGGUGGUGGAAAAAUGGUUUACAAAAUACCUAGAGAUUUUAGUCCAGGUAGAUGCAUGGAUGAAGGUGGCUCUUUUGAUCGACAACAUGGUGAAAAGUUCUCUAGGAAUUUUGCUGAUGACACAGUGGAUCUGAUGUAUCCACGACCUCAACCUCCAUACGACAUAGACAAACCCUUCUUCCGGGAAAGAAGGAACUUCUCAUUCCAAAGAAAAUCUUUUCCCAGAAUUGAUUCUAAAUCUCCAGUAAGAGCCAGGGCUCGCUCCCCCAGCCAAUGGUUCUCUUCAAAAAGAUCUGAUAGAUUUUGUGAACGUUCCGAUAUGACACAUCGAAGGUCUCCAAAUUAUAGGUCGGAAAGGAUGAGAUCUCCUGAUCAUCGUCCUAUACGUGGGCAUAUGCCACCGGGCAGAAGACAAGGAUUCCAUUUCCUUUCAGCAUCUGAUGAAUUGAGGGAUGUGGGUCCUGCACCUGACCAUGGCCACAUGAGGUCUAUUAUCCCCGAUAGGAAUCAGACUGAAAGGUUACCACUUAGAAAUAGAAGCUAUGAUGCUAUAGAUCCUCAAGGAAGGAUUGAAAACGACAAUUUUUUUUAUGGUCCUCCUGUACGCUUGGGUCAAUUGACUGGGUACAAUGAUGGCGAACCAGAUGACGACGAAAGAAGAUUUAAUGAGAGACAUGAACCUCUUUAUUCUUUUAAGCAUCCAUUUGGUGAUUCUGAUGGUGAGAGAUUCCGAAACAACAGGGAGGAUUGUUCUAGGCCUUUUAGAUUUUGUCCAGGGAAUGACCCAAGAAUUUCAUGGAAGAGAAGGUAGCUUUUGGGGAGAGAGAUCGAGUUAAAAAUCUCUACCAAGGGAGAGGAGAUUGCUUUAGAGUUUUUGGCAUACACUUUUUCUCAAGCCAAAAUCACUUUUGCACAAAAAUAUGAUGUUUGGCAUCUAAUAAAAAUGAUUUUAGAAAAAUAUGAAAUCACUCAAAAUUGAUUUGGGAAGUAUCAGCUGGCUAGUGAUUGUGGAGGGUGAUUAACCGGGAAUCACCAUUCUUAUUUUAUUUAGUUUUUAGAAUACCCAAAACCCUUCAUUCAAUAAGGAUACCAAACCCUAAUUUCAAACUCCUCCAUCCUCUCCAGUCCAGCUGCUUUGACUGCCUCUCAACCCCCUUUGCCAUCUCAUUGUUCUGAACGACCGUCUCUCCGAAGAUUGUGAGGUAUCAGUUAGCUGUCACCUCUCUCCGUCUCGUGAUUGUUCUUCUAUCUUGCAGGUUUAGAAGUUGAGCAUUGUUGACAAUUAAGUGAAUAUGCUUUCAUUGUUGAAGAGGUUCAAAGCUAAAUGCUUCUUCCAAACAGUAUAUAACUUGGGGAUGGAGUUAUACAAAAGGAAGUUUUCAUUCGACAAGCUUCUAUAUUAUUAAUAAACUCAAAUGACAAGAGAGUUAUAUUUUGGAAAUAAUAGAGAAGUUUAGAAAUGGGGGGAGAGAGGUGAUCAAUAGGUGCACCCGGACAUCUCAAUUACAACCCCAUAGCACGCUCAUCAUAUCCAAAAUACAAGGAUUCAAAAGGAAGUUGUUCACAAUAGAGUAUUAAAAGCUAAGGUCCUGUUUGGUAGGGAAUCUAGAUUUUGUUUUAUGUUUUCAGAUUCACAGAGUUGAAUCGACAUGCAUAUCCAAACAAUGCAAAUUUUAAAAACACAUUGUAUUUGGAAUUUGAAUUUUACAUUCUAAAAAGCAGAAUUAUAUUAAAUAUAUAUAAAAAUAUUUAGAAAUACAA